AGGAGCGGGUAUACUCACAGGAACAGUCUCUGCAGGUUCAGCACAGUAUAAGAGAGUGAGUCCCUUGGUCUGAGCUUCACUCUGAGCCUCCCAGGGCCAUCCAGCCUUUGGACCUGCAGGUGAAGAUGACAUUUUUGCUGAUCACCAUGACUUACCUUUGCGCUCACACAUUGAUGGACAUCCCUCAGGAAGGAAAGUUCAAAACUUCUCGGACCUGCCCAGUAUGGUAUGUCAGCUGUCAAUGACACCAAAUUCACACCUGCAGUGUUCCUUCUCACUGGGAUACCUGGGCAGGAAGACGUCCAUCUCUGGGUCUCUGUCCUCUUCUGUUUCAUGUAUGAAAUUACGAUAGUAGGAAAUUCAGUCAUUCUGUUCAUUAUAAAAACAGAUCCAAUCCUCCAUGAGCCCAUGUACAUUUUCCUUUCCAUGUUGGCCCUCACAGACCUUGGCUUAUUGAUAGCCAGCAUGCCGAUGAUACUGGGCCUAUUCUUAUUUAACUCUAGAGAGAUCAGCCUUGAUGCUUGUUUUGCCCAGAUGUUCUUCAUCCACUCUCUGCAAUUAAUUGAAUCCUGUGCUCCUGUUGAUGGCAUUUGUCCGCUUCAUCGCAAUCUGUAACCCGCUGAGAUAUGCCUCCAUCUUAACCCUGCCGAGAAUAGCCAAGAUGGGACUGGUGUUUAUGCUAAGAGCAGUGGCAGUAAUAUUUCCACUCCCCUUUCUCCUGAAACAGUUCCGAUUCUUUUGAGCCAAUGUCCUCUCCCAUUCCUACUGCCUGCACCAGGACGUCACGAAGCUGGUUUGUUCAGACAUCACAGUCAAUAACAUCAUCAGUCUCUGUGUCACAGGACAACAAGCCAUUGUUCUCAGCCACUUGGGCCUAUGCUUACAAGGCCUGCUGGUUGCCAGGGAGAUGGUGGAAUUAGUGGGCCCCUUCUGUUAAUGGGCACACUGGCAGGAUGGGAUUCAGUAGUAUGGAAACCGGAAAUAGUAUAAGGGACCUACCAUCAAUCAAACCCUAACCCCUCCCCUUGGCCGCUUAAACCCUGCC